AGCGGUUGUAGUGGGGUGGAGAUGGCUCCAAUAAGAGAGCUGUAGAGAAGUCGGUCCUGUCUCCUCCAUGGAGUGUACGCCGGAUUGGCUCCAAUCUGGCCUUCGGGAUUAGUCGCAGUGGGUGGGACAGCAGCCGUAGCUUCAAGGAAUCCAUGGAGUUCAAGACCUUCUAACAGAGCACAGAUCUGUUUGCUCCACAUUAGGUAAUUGGUAUUUGUCAACUUUGUGAUGUUAGACAUAUUCACCGUAAGCAAGGUACUUGCUGGAUCUCUCGGGUUGAAGACUGUGGUAGUCUCAGCCGAGGAUGAGGGAUUGGAACUUUCAGUAGCCAUUGAGAACCCAAAAGAGAAUUGAGAAACAGAGGUUGAGAAGAGUUAGAGAAGAAGACGCAGAGAGGCGGAAGAAAAAGAGGAAUAAAAAAAAAAAAAUUAGGUCUAAAUCUUUUAGUGCUCUGAUACCAUGAUGAAUAUGGAAUUGUAUAUUAUUCACAAAGAGCAGUGCUCUAGCUUUAUACAUCGAGAGAGAGCCUAAUUAAUAAAUAUUUAUAUACAGAGAGUAAUGUGAGAAUAUAUGAUUAAAAGUGAUGAUCGCCUUUCUAUAUCUUACACAAUCUACAGAUCAUAAAUCAUGGGUUAUAUCAUUCUUACCCAAUUGAGUUCCCAUAAUUCUAGCAAAUAAAUCAGAUUUAUAAAAUAUAAUCGAAUACUUGAUGAUUUUAGGGCAUCUGUAAAACAAAACAUAAAUAUUCAUAUAUCUAUUAAGGUGAUUAAUUUGUAUAUUCUGCGGUAAAUGGUCCCAGGUAAAUCAUUUAAAUUUUGAAUUUGGGAAAUGAAUAGUGAAAAUGAAACUAAACGACAUGAACAACUAAAAUGGAUUGCAGCCGGGCACUUGUGGUCUAAUUUCUCACCCCCAUUACCAUUAAGUACGUUGUCACUUGUGGUCUAAUUUUGCAAACUCCACAUAUAUAUACUAAUGAUGAUUCAUGUCAAACAAAAUAUAAAACUUCCCAGAAUAAUAAUGUUAAAACAAUGCUUACCGUUGAAACAGAUUCACAAAUGUUGGCAAGAAUGCUCAACGGAGAGGAGGAAUAUAUGGUCGGUACUUGCUCCCAUCAUACAAGAUAUCUCGAUCUCAUUGAACGCAAAUGAAGGUUUCAAAGUACAGUAUCAUCUGAGGAGUGGUAAUAAGUCAGCAUAUAGGAUAGCGAAGGAGACUUCUACGUUUACGUCCUUUGUCAGCGAAGAAGACUUCUACGUUUACGUCCUUUGUCCCUAAGUUAUAUUCUAUGGUACCUAUGUGGUUGAAUUCAUGUGUUGAGGCUGAUAAGCCCAAUGUAAGACUCUGAAGUUUGGAUUAAUAUAAAGUUGUUGUUGAGCAAAAAAAAAAAAAACAAUGCUUACCGUUUAACAACUUUUUUUUGAUAAUGUGUAGUUGCUAUCUCUCUCAAAACCACCUGGCUGUCUUGAAUCAUUAAAAUAAUAUUAUAAACUCAAGAAUUCAUUUUUAUUGUGAUAUUUCUAAAAUAUAACCGAAACUAAUAAUGAUAUUAGCGGUUAAUUUGUAUUUGUAUUUGAGAAUUCGGCCAAAAAAAACCUUAACUUUGCACGAAUUACCAAAAGAAACAUAACUUUUGGGCUGACCAAAAAAAUACCAAACUUUCAUUGACUUUAGAAUUAAUUAACAAUGUUUUCGCUGACUUGCCAAUUUAGCACGCCGUCAACAAAUUUAACAGAAAUAUUUGACGUCGUUUAGUGAAACGACGUCGUUUUCAAAUGAGAUGAGACGACGUCGUUUUACAUGAUUUGAAAUUAAAAAUAUGUAGACCAGUGGAUUCGAACCCAGGUUAUUUGGUCAAAUGGCAAGGUCUUUUACCACUAGGCUAGUGGAACUUUCAAUGUACUUACUAACAUGUUUACUUUUAUUUGGUACUGAUUGAAUAUAAAAAUAUUCUCUAAAAACUUAAAAAGAUCUUUAAAAUUCCAAAAAAUUGAAAAAUAAGAUUUUUUUUAUAAAAUCAAUUUUGAAAUUAAAAUUGAAAAUAAAUUUUAUUUUUCUUUUUAAAAAAUAAAAACUCUUCCAAAAUUUUCUAUAAAAUUAAAACGAACUUUAAAUUCCAAAAAAUUGAAAAAAAUAAAGAAUUUUUUUAUAAAUUAAUUUUGAAAUUAAAAUUGAAAAUAAAAUUUUAUUUUUGGGUCUUUCAGAGCUUCUGCAACAGAGGUGGGAAUCUUUUCAAAACCAAUAUUAACCACUGCACUAAGGUUAAGCUUGUCUACUGGUUUUCUUGUUCGCUGAGAUGUGUGUGUUGGUUGUCUUGUCGGGAGAGGCUGAGAGAUAGUCAAAGUUGAAGCCGGUUGUUGUUGUUGCUGCAGAACAGGUUGUGGUUGUGGUAUCAACGGCUGUGGUGAGAUCGGCAGAGGUAUGACAUUUUCAGGAGCAGUCGUAGUUGGAGUAGCAGUUGUAGCAGAAGGAGCUGCAGGAGAUGUAGGUGCUGGUGCCGGGACCGUAGCAGGUUCCUGUGGCAGUGGUUCUGUCGGAAUAUUGGAUGUAGGUGCCUGUAUAGGAACUGCUUGAACUGUUGGUCCUCCUGUUGGUCCUGCUGUCUGUGAAGAAUCUGCAUCAACAACUUCAGUAUGGUUCUCAGAAGUAAGUGGAGUAGGCAAAGAAAAUGGAUAAACAUACUCAUGAAAGACUACAUGUCUAGAUGUAUAGAUGCGAGAAGUAGCUCUAUCAAGACAAAAAUAAGCACUUUGUGUAGUAGAAUAGCCUAAAAAUACGCAUGGAGUUGAUCUAGAAUCUAGUUUAUGAGAUGUGUAAGGACGUAACCAAGGAAAACAUAAGCAACCAAAUAUUCUUAGCUUAGAGUAGUUUGCAACCUGACGAAACAGAGACUCAAAAGGCGAUUUCAUAGAUAAAGUGGCAGUAGCCAUACGGUUUAUAAGGUAUACUGCAGUAGCAAGAGCAUAAGUCCAAUAGCCUUUCGGCAUUGAAGCAUGUGAUAGGAGUGCUAGUCCGGUUUCGACAGUAUGUCGAUGCUUCCUUUCGGAAAUACCGUUAUGCUCUGGAGUAUGUGGUGGUGUAGUAAAAUGAGAGAUGCCAUUGUCUGCUAAGAAUGCAGUAAGAGCAAUGUACUCACCACCAUUGUCCGUAUAUAGCGUUCUAAGUUUUGAUUGAAAUCGGUUUUCAACCAACACUUUGAAUCGCUUAAAAACGUCAGAUACAUCUGAUUUUCUUUUUAAAGGAUAAAACCAAGUAUAUCUAGUAUAAUGAUCUACAAAAAUAACGUAGUAUUUAAAAUUGUCAAUUGAAAUGAUUGGAGAAGUCCAAACAUCUGAAAAGACAAUAUCAAGUGGAGAAGAAGACGUAAGUGUUGAAGUUGAAAAAGGCAACUUGUGCAUCUUAUUAAUAGAGCAAGCAUUACACGGCUUGGUCAAUAAAACAUUUGAAGACAAAGGUAAACCAAAUUUCGAAAGCAUAGUUUUUAAAAUAGGAAAAGCAGGAUGGCCUAAACGAGAGUGCCAAUCCGAUAAAGUAGUAGAAGUAGCAGAAGCAUAAGAUAAAGAUGGUGGAGUUGAUGUCUGAGGUUUCGGCCAGACAUAAGUUCCUCCCUUAGGUUGGCCUUCCAGUCGAAGAGCCCCCGUGUUCAGAUCGCGUACCUGAAAGUACGUUGGAGUAAAGGUAACAGCCACACCAUUAGUUUUGCAUAACUGAAAAACUGAUAUCAAGUUUUUAUCUAGAGCAGGUACGUAUAAAACAUUAUCAAUAAAGAAGGGAGAUUUGAGAGAGGGAAGUGAGAAAGAACCGGUGUGUGAAAUGUUGAGACCAGAGCCGUCGCCGAGAAUCACAUCAUCACCACCGUUGUAAGGGGUAUGGAGAGAUAGAUUUGCUAAGUCCGACGUCAUGUGGUGUGAAGCCCCCGAGUCAAGCAGCCAUGUGGAGGAGUCACCAUUCAUCAUUGCUACAUUUGCUCGUGGCUGCCAUGAUUGUUGAUAAGGAGCUUGCUGCCAUGGCUGAGUUGUGUUCCACUGCUGUGCUGAGCUUGAACCAGGAACAAUACGAAAUUGAGGACAAAAUUUAGCACUGUGUCCCUGUGUUCCACACGCCUGGCAUCUUUCGAGAUAUGGACGGGAUGAUCGAUUAUGAUUCUGGUUGGUGUAGUUCCUGCCACUGAAAUUGCGAUUGUUAGAUCUCCACGCCUGGUUGUUGUUAUUGUUGUUGUUCUUGAAGCGUGUGUCUGUAGCGUUUGCAGUGAUAGGAGUUACUGGUGAAGAUACCGGAGCUUUGCAGAGAAUCAUUGCUUCUCUGUUCAGGAGACGUUCAUGAAGUUCAGGAAAAGAAAUCGUGGUGUCUCUACCAUGAAUAGCAUCGAUCUCGGACUUGUAAUCUUCAGGUAAGCCGUUGAGAACAUAUUCAGUGAUGUCUUCAGGGUCCAUCGGCUUUCCAAGUUGCGCCAGUUCAUCGGUUGUGACUUUGAUGCUCCUGAGAUACUCAGAGAUUGUUUUGGUACCUUUAGCAGAUGAUUGGAUUUGGAGUUUGAGUUGUCGUAUGUGACCACGGGUGGGAUUACCGAAGGUUUGAGACAGAAGGUUCCAGAUUUCAGCCGUUGUGGUAGCGCUAGAAACGAGCGGUUGUAGUGGGGUGGAGAUGGCUCCAAUAAGAGAGCUGUAGAGAAGUCGGUCCUGUCUCCUCCAUGGAGUGUACGCCGGAUUGGCUCCAAUCUGGCCUUCGGGAUUAGUCGCAGUGGGUGGGACAGCAGCCGUAGCUUCAAGGAAUCCAUGGAGUUCAAGACCUUCUAACAGAGCACAGAUCUGUUUGCUCCACAUUAGGUAAUUGGUAUUUGUCAACUUUGUGAUGUUAGACAUAUUCACCGUAAGCAAGGUACUUGCUGGAUCUCUCGGGUUGAAGACUGUGGUAGUCUCAGCCGAGG
rnacentral:lncRNA from 1 species